AAACCCGCCUAGAUAGGCGGGCCU
rnacentral:snRNA from 1 species